rnacentral:rRNA from 1 species
AUUGAACGCUGGCGGCAGGCUUAACACAUGCAAGUCGAGCGGGGUGAUGGUGCUUGCACUAUCACUUAGCGGCGGACGGGUGAGUAAUGCUUAGGAAUCUGCCUAUUAGUGGGGGACAACAUCUCGAAAGGGAUGCUAAUACCGCAUACGUCCUACGGGAGAAAGCAGGGGAUCACUUGUGACCUUGCGCUAAUAGAUGAGCCUAAGUCGGAUUAGCUAGUUGGUGGGGUAAAGGCCUACCAAGGCGACGAUCUGUAGCUGGUCUGAGAGGACGACCAGCCACACUGGAACUGAGACACGGUCCAGACUCCUACGGGAGGCAGCAGUGGGGAAUUUUGGACAAUGGGCGAAAGCCUGAUCCAGCCAUUCCGCGUGCAGGAUGAAGGUCCUAUGGAUUGUAAACUUCUUUUAUAUGGGAAUAAAAUCUUCUACGUGUAGGAGACUGAAGGUACCAUAAGAAUAAGCACCGGCUAACUCCGUGCCAGCAGCCGCGGUAA